rnacentral:tRNA from 1 species
GGAAGUGUGGCCGAGUGGUUGAAGGCACCGGUCUUGAAAACCGGCGACCCGAAAGGGUUCUAGAGUUCGAA